rnacentral:lncRNA from 1 species
CCGGUUGUGGAUAAUGCUGCAGGUAGAGAAUUUAUGGAUCUUACUUUGCUUCAAUCUUAUAAAAUGAUUGAUAGGAUAACUAAACAGAGUAGAGCAACCAGAUCUAUAACAACCUUAUUUUACAAUUAUAAAAGAAACCCCCUUUUUACCUCGGAACCUUUGAUCAACCAUCCAUUAAUAAUCAUAACACUUAAUUUAGAUUGUAUUCUCUACUGGAUUCAACCCCAACCUAGUUGGGUUUUAUAUUUGAUGACAACCGCUUACAAUUUUUAAUGAGGGUUGUAAUUUGGAUGUAUAAAAUUUUGGGCCAUUGCUGGGGAAUAAGGUUGUCAAUUAAGUUAAUGAGUGUUAAUUGAAAUUUGAUCAAGUUUCGUAAUUUUACUUUUAUUUAUUAUUUUUAUUUUAUGAAGGAUAAUUGGUGUGUAUUCCUAGUACAAGGAGGUUGGGAGAACCAUUAAUACCUUUCCACCCAGAAUCUUAUCUUAUGAGAAGAAUGGCUGAUCCAUAAGAAGCAUAUAAACUAGUCAUCUUAGCUAGAGCUCAACUGAAUCAAUGGAAUGAUAGUCAACUAGUGCGUCAUCCUAAUACAGAUGAUAAGGACUUGGAAGAUGAUUAUUUGUUGAAUUAGGCUAAACAAAGACGUGCAGAGGAUGUGGCUGAACAACUGAACCAAAAUGUGAACAGAAAUUGCCCUUAUAGAGCGAGACUAGAUUGCCAUGAUUUGCAAUUUGACCUUGAGAAGGAUGAGGAUGAUAUGGAUGGAUCAGGUGCAACCGGAGCUAUUUUUCAUCAAUAAUUGACACCCGAAGAUAAGUUCAACAUCAUGAGGACCAUGAUUCAAAUACUUUAUCUGAAUGAGCUGUUCAAUGGACUUUCGGGUGAUGAUCCAAAUAUGUACUUACUAAACAUUGUCACUAUUUGCAAGUCUUUUCAUAGCCCAGGAGUAGGGAAGAAUGUUAUCCGUAUUCUCCUAUUAACAUUGUCUCUAUCUGGUGAGGAAACACUAUGGCUUAAUGGGUUGUCUCCUGAUUCUAUAACAAACUAUAGGUAGUUGAAAGGAGCUUUCGUAGUAAGGUUCUUUCUGCCGUCCAGGAUGUUACAUUUGAGGGAUAAGAUCAAUAACUUCAGGCAGCUUCCAACAAAGGCUCUUCAUGAGACAUGAUAGAGGUUAAAGAAAAAGUUAAUGUAGUGUUCCAAUCAGAAAAUGACUGACAUACAUUUGUUGGAGACUCUGUAAAGUGCCUUUAAUUAUAUCGCAAAGCCGGUUGUGGAUAAUGCUGCAGGUAGAGAAUUUAUGGAUCUUACUUUGCUUCAAUCUUAUAAAAUGAUUGAUAGGAUAACUAAACAGAGUAGAGCUUAGCAUACCAGGGAUUCUAAUAUAGCAAGCUUUACUAUGUCUAGUGGCAGGUCUUUAGAGCAACGUCGAAAAGAGGAAGAACUUAACUAAGAAAUGGCACACAUGAAGACCCUGAU